rnacentral:rRNA from 1 species
GCUUAUGGCCAUACCACCCUGAGAACGCCCGAUCUCGUCUGAUCUCGGAAGCUAAGCAGGGUCGGGCCUGGUUAGUCCUUGGAUGGGAGACCGCCUGGGAAUACCAGGUGCUGUAAGCC